AACCGGGCUAGACUGGUUUAAAAUUCUUCACUAGCGUCCAUGCCGAAUACAUUUCGACGACAGGGGCCUUCGCACGGCUUUUGGUGCACAGAAGACCGAUGCACCGAAGCCUGCCGAUCUCGGGACGUGUCCACGAGGGGAAAGAGUGUCAGCCUAUCGGAAAAGAGAGUCGGUUAACGUAGAUUGCAAAGGCAUUCGUUCAUCCCGAGAGACUUCCUCUCCAUGAUGGCGGGUGGCGCGAGAUGGAAGAGUUGGCUUCCAUGAAAAAGGGGCCCUUUCUUGAAGACCCUGCCCAGCUAUCGGGGUUUUGUUGGUUUGUGUUUUGUCAUCUGUGAUAGGAAGGCAUCUUCUUAGCCAUCGGGAGGGAAACCUCAACAAAUUCAGCCAUUCAGAUCACAAGGGAUUUCUUGGGUUUGGUGGAUCUGAGAUCUGGUCUGCCUCCGACUGCUCCCCGAGAUUGCCUUUAUGCCGAGAAUGGGAUUCCUCAUCAGACACACAGAAGUCCGGCUCCUUGCCACGGAGCUGGCUGCUCUAUGGAUGCCUUUAAAAAGGAAGCCUGCCUUUAAUUCGGACGUCGGAACGUGAUCGGUCGCUUUUUCAUGGGGGGUUGGCCAAUUAAAUUUCCCCCGCCUUGGGCGCCUGGGUGGCUCAGUUGGUUAAGCGGCUGCCUUCGGCUCCGGUCAUGAUCCUGGAGUCCCUGGAUCGAGUCCCGCAUCGGGCUCCCUGCUCAGCAGGGAGUCUGCUUCUCCCUCUGACCCUCCCCCCUCUCAUGUGCUCUCUCUCAUUCAUUCUCUCUCUCUCUCUCUCUCUCUCUCUCUCUCUGUCUCAAAUAAAUAAACAAACAAACAAACAAACAAAUAAAUAAAUAAAUAAAAUCUUAAAAAAAAAAAAUUCCCCCCGCCUUACAAAGCAGAGACUGGUGAAGGGUCCUCCAAGUGCCCUCUGGAAAUCAAGAGCUUCUGUAUCAAGAGGCUGGAAAACGCAUCUUCCCCUUCUUCCUGGUGAAUCCAAUUCUAGGGGUUGAUUCAAAGGAAAUCAUGUUUUAGAUGCUAAAACGUAAAGCUUACUUUUGCAAAAAUGUGCAUCGCGGCAUAGGGUUUAGGAAUCCCUUGUGGCAGACCGACAACCGUGUGUCCCUCACGUCCCGGCACGUGUGCACCCUCACGUCCUAUGACUUCGAUGCUCCUGCUAUCCAGAGAGAGAGACACAGCGAGAGAGGGAACACAAGCAGGCGGAGUGGGAGAGGGAGAAGCAGGCUUCCCGCCGAGCAGGGAGCCCGAUGCAGGGGCUUGAUCCCAGGACCCUCGGAUCAUGACCUGAGCUAAAGGCAGACGCUUAACCACUGAGCCAUCCAGUCAAAAUAAUGAAGAAGAGGAGGAAGACAGGCCGAUGCUAGAAAUCUGAAAUCCACUCCUCCUCCUCCCCAAGUACAGGCACCAGAACCGAUGCCCAACCCACUGGCUUCCGGAGGGCUGAAAAGCCACCACAGACAAAGCCUAUUAAGCAGAAGGAGAUGAAGAAAGGGGCGGAGGCGGAGGCGGAGGCGGAGGCGGAGGCGGAGGCGGAGGCGGAGGCGGA